UACAGAGGUCUCAACCGUUGUUCGGAUUCAUUGGGCGUAAAGGGUGCGUAGGCGGUCGCGCAAGUCGGAUGUGAAAUCUUAGGGCUCAACCCUGAAACUGCAUUCGAUACUGCGUGGCUCGAGUACUGGAGAGGAGACUGGAAUUUACGGUGUAGCAGUGAAAUGCGUAGAUAUCGUAAGGAAGACCAGUGGCGAAGGCGAGUCUCUGGACAGUUACUGACGCUGAGGCACGAAAGCCAGGGGAGCAAACGGG
rnacentral:rRNA from 1 species